rnacentral:rRNA from 1 species
UACGUAGGGUGCAAGCGUUGUCCGGAAUUAUUGGGCGUAAAGAGCUCGUAGGCGGUUUGUCGCGUCUGCUGUGAAAACUCGGGGCUUAACCCCGGGCCUGCAGUGGGUACGGGCAGACUAGAGUGCGGUAGGGGAGACUGGAAUUCCUGGUGUAGCGGUGAAAUGCGUAGAUAUCAGGAGGAACACCGGUGGUGUAGACGGCUUCUGGACCAUUGCUGACGCUGAGACACGAAAAGCGUGGGGUAGCAAAACAGG